CCUACGGGUGGCAGCAGUGAGGAAUAUUGGUCAAUGGACGAGAGUCUGAACCAGCCAAGUAGCGUGAAGGAUGACUGCCCUAUGGGUUGUAAACUUCUUUUAUAUGGGAAUAAAACGUUCCACGUGUGGGAUUUUGUAUGUACCAUAUGAAUAAGGAUCGGCUAACUCCGUGCCAGCAGCCGCGGUAAUACGGGGGAUCCGAGCGUUAUCCGGAUUUAUUGGGUUUAAAGGGAGCGUAGGUGGAUUGUUAAGUCAGUUGUGAAAGUUUGUGGCUCAACCGUAAAAUUGCAGUUGAAACUGGCAGUCUUGAGUACAGUAGAGGUGGGCGGAAUUCGUGGUGUAGCGGUGAAAUGCUUAGAUAUCACGAAGAACUCCGAUUGCGAAGGCAGUUCACUGGACUGCAACUGACACUGAGGCUCGAAAGUGUGGGUAUCAAACAGGAUUAGAUACCCCUGUAGUC
rnacentral:rRNA from 1 species